GAGCAGAUGAACAGCCUUAUAAGAGCCAAUCUUCUAAAAUUCAGGGUUCUUCUCCUGUGGUGCACCUUACUGCAUGAGCAGGGUCUUACUCUGUCACCCAGGCUGGAGUGCAGUGGCACAGGAACAUGGCUUCCUGCAGCCUCGACCCCUCUGGGAUCAAGCGAUACUCCUGCCUUAGCCUCCUGAAUAGCUGGGACCACAGUCAC
rnacentral:lncRNA from 1 species